rnacentral:rRNA from 1 species
UGACGGUAUCUAACCAGCAAGUCACGGCUAACUACGUGCCAGCAGCCGCGGUAAUACGUAGGUGGCAAGCGUUAUCCGGAUUUAUUGGGCGUAAAGGGAACGCAGGCGGUUUUUUAAGUCUGAUGUGAAAGCCUUCGGCUUAACCGGAGAAUAGCAUUGGAAACUGGAAGACUUGAGUGCAGAAGAGGAGAGUGGAACUCCAUGCGUAGCGGUGAAAUGCGUAGAUAUAUGGAAGAACACCAGUGGCGAAAGCGGCUCUCUGGUCUGUAACUGACCCUGAGGUUCGAAAGCGUGGGUAGCAAACAGGAUUAGAUACCCUG